CUUCAACGAGCCCAGCCGCAAAGGCCGUUCGGUGGGCCGUCCCUGGCCGUACGUGGCCAGCAGGGCCUGGGCCUC
rnacentral:antisense_RNA from 2 species